rnacentral:rRNA from 1 species
UACGAAGGGUGCAAGCGUUACUCGGAAUUACUGGGCGUAAAGCGUGCGUAGGCGGUCUGUUAAGUCCGUUGUGAAAGCCCUGGGCUCAACCUGGGAAUUGCAGUGGAUACUGGCAGGCUAGAGUACGGUAGAGGAUGGUGGAAUUCCCGGUGUAGCGGUGAAAUGCGUAGAUAUCAGGAGGAAUACCGAUGGCGAAGGCAGGUCUCUGGACCUGUACUGACGCUCAUGCACGAAAGCGUGGGGAGCAAACAGGAU